AUUGAACGCUGGCGGCAGGCCUAACACAUGCAAGUCGAGCGGUAGCACAGGAGAGCUUGCUCUCCGGGUGACGAGCGGCGGACGGGUGAGUAAUGUCUGGGAAACUGCCUGAUGGAGGGGGAUAACUACUGGAAACGGUAGCUAAUACCGCAUAACGUCGCAAGACCAAAGAGGGGGACCUUCGGGCCUCUUGCCAUCAGAUGUGCCCAGAUGGGAUUAGCUAGUAGGUGGGGUAACGGCUCACCUAGGCGACGAUCCCUAGCUGGUCUGAGAGGAUGACCAGCCACACUGGAACUGAGACACGGUCCAGACUCCUACGGGAGGCAGCAGUGGGGAAUAUUGCACAAUGGGCGCAAGCCUGAUGCAGCCAUGCCGCGUGUAUGAAGAAGGCCUUCGGGUUGUAAAGUACUUUCAGCGGGGAGGAAGGUGUUGAGGUUAAUAACCUCAGCAAUUGACGUUACCCGCAGAAGAAGCACCGGCUAACUCCGUGCCAGCAGCCGCGGUAAUACGGAGGGUGCAAGCGUUAAUCGGAAUUACUGGGCGUAAAGCGCACGCAGGCGGUCUGUCAAGUCGGAUGUGAGAUCCCCGGGCUCAACCUGGGAACUGCAUUCGAAACUGGCAGGCUAGAGUCUUGUAGAGGGGGGUAGAAUUCCAGGUGUAGCGGUGAAAUGCGUAGAGAUCUGGAGGAAUACCGGUGGCGAAAGCGGCCCCCUGGACAAAGACUGACGCUCAGGUGCGAAAGCGUGGGGAGCAAACAGG
rnacentral:rRNA from 1 species